rnacentral:rRNA from 1 species
UACGUAGGGGGGCGAGCGUUGUCCGGAGUUACUGGGCGUAAAGGGCGCGCAGGCGGUCUGGUAAGUUUGGAGUGACAGUGCUCGGCUUAACUGAGCAAGGCCUUCGAAAACUAUCAGACUUGAGCACUCAAGAGGGACAUAGAAUUCCGGGUGGAGUGGUGAAAUGCGUAGAUAUCCGGAGGAAUACCAAAGGCGAAGGCAGUGUCCUGGGGAGUGUCUGACGCUCAGGCGCGAAAGCUAGGGGAGCGAACAGG